rnacentral:rRNA from 1 species
UUUUCCCUACGGGGGGCAGCAGUCGAGAAUCAUUCACAAUGGGGGAAACCCUGAUGGUGCGACGCCGCGUGGAGGAUGAAGGUUUUAGGAUUGUAAACUCCUUUUGUAAGAGAAGAUUAUGACGGUAUCUUACGAAUAAGCACCGUCUAACUCCGUGCCAGCAGCCGCGGUAAUACGGAGGGUGCAAGCGUUACUCGGAAUCACUGGGCGUAAAGAGCGCGUAGGCGGGUGGUCAAGUCAGAUGUGAAAUCCUGUAGCUUAACUACAGAACUGCAUUUGAAACUGAUCAUCUAGAGUAUGGGAGG